UGGUUAUUCGCUUGAUCGGGCCAAGGAUGUCGUCGGGUAUCACCGAUAGCCACGAAUAUCUGGUAGACCGCAAACGUAUACAGAUAUCCGUCGUUUCGUGUUGGCUGUCACGUUUCGAUAAGUAUUCUGAUGGAUUUAACUGGACGUGCGAAUUGACGAUACGACACGAACCGAUGGACAAGUCUUUCUAGUAGGAUUUUCAACUGUUUGAGGAAGAGAAUCGUAAGAAAUCGUCUGGGACCCUGCUGGGUUUUGAGGUCAUAAAUGGCUGGACAAAAGAGGGAGACUGUAUCUCUUAGGAAGAUUCUAUGGAACUGGAAUAGGAAUGAAGGAAGAAAUAUCGCGUUUUCUCGCUCCCUGGUGGCUGCAAGAAAACGAGGAAAACGAGAAAAGGAGAAAAGGAGAAAAGGAGAAAAGGAGAAAAGGAG